UCGGACAUGAGUAAUUUUACUUUGAUUCUGCAUGUCAGCCGGGGUGCCAGUGGAAUUUUACACGACAGUGAAAUAAUGAAAUGUCAGCCACUCCUCUGCCCAACCCAUGGCCAAAGCGUUGAGGCUGAGAAGCAGGCCAGCUGAGUUCAAUUGACAGCUGCCAGUGUCAUGACCACGAGAAGAACUUUCCUUCUCCCUCCAAGAUAUAUGGUCUUGUCUUUGCAUCCCAAGUUGGAAAGACCUUACUGGAAAUAAAGUCAUUUGAAACAGGGCUUGCCUUGGGAUUAGGAGGCACACUUCAGAGAAAGAAUGUCCCUACAUAUAUUCUGUGUGGUAAAUAAUAAUAAUAAUAAUAAUAAUAAUAAUAAUGAUAAUAAUAACAAAACAUUUUCAAUUGUUUUAAUAGAUUGGCCUGGAGGAGUGAAGAUAAAUGACAGGAAAUUACAUUAAAUCAAUAACUCAAGGAAAUCUACAUAGAGGUAAAGUACAUUAAGAACCACACCACAGUGUGGGAG
rnacentral:lncRNA from 1 species